rnacentral:misc_RNA from 1 species
GCAUAAUUGCCGAGCAGGUGAGGUUUAAUUUAGAAAAGCUACUUCAAUUUGGAAGCUUUGUUGAGGUGAUGCUAUAUUGUUCUUUUUGGGUACUAUAUGCUUCCAUGUAUAGCUUGUCUUGAUUCAUUCUUUGGAUUAUGACAAGGAAAACACAGCUGUAUUGAUAUCACGUUAGUUUUUAUAUUUUGUUAAGCAUGGAAAGCUGCAAGCUAUGCUGUUGUUGGAAGUGGCACUUUUCUAAGCUUUAUCGAUUUUCUUUUUAUUAUUUUUUGCUCCAAUUUUGGCUUUUAGACCCUAAAUUGUUGCCA